rnacentral:rRNA from 1 species
CGGACAGCAAUAUGAAGGUCAGGCUGAAGACUUACCCGAUUAGCUGAGAGGUGGUGCAUGGCCGUCGUCAGUUCGUACUGUGAAGCAUCCUGUUAAGUCAGGCAACGAGCGAGACCCACGUCCACAGUUGCCAGCAUACCCUCCGGGGUGAUGGGUACACUGUGGAGACCGCCGCUGCUAAAGCGGAGGAAGGAGUGGGCAACGGUAGGUCAGUAUGCCCCGAAUCUCCCGGGCUACACGCGGGCUACAAUGGUUGGUACAAUGGGCAUCUACCCCGAAAGGGGAAGGAAAUCUCUUAAAGCCAAUCGUAGUUCGGAUUGAGGGCUGCAACUCGCCCUCAUGAAGCUGGAAUCCGUAGUAAUCGCGUUCCAACAGAACGCGGUGAAUACGUCCCUGCUCCUU